GGGCUCUCAUUCUCCAGCUGCAGCCGCAGCUGGGUUCCGAACACGCCGCCGGGCCCCGGGAGGGAGAGGGGCAGGUGCCAGGGCGGCGCGCAGCCUCUGCUCCCGGUGCCAGCUUCAGUGCGCCGGGCACACGCGCGCCCCGCAACCCCUCCCUCACCCUUUCCCCGUUGCUCAAUCUCCGCCAGCCGCGGUCGCUGCAUCGUCAGAGAGCUGCAAGAGGGAGGCAGCAAGGCGCGGCCACCAGCAGUGACACCAUGUGACCGGCACGGCUCACUGACACGCAGCUUUGGUUAAAGAGCGGGCGCACAGGAGGGGAGGAGACCGCGCGCGGGACGGGGAGGAAUGGCCUGUCCGCGUUAAACCAUCACAAGCCAUGGUUGCGGAAGGGCCACGCGUCCCCCAGUAGGAGAAUGACUCCGAUUCGUGACCCUCAGCGCCGGUGCAUGUCGAUGUAAGUGCGAGGCCGGCGAGCAGAGUGUGAGUGGGGGUUGGUGGUGAGGGGAGAUUCUGAUGCAAUCGGCCCGGAAAGGAGGAGAGCUAGGCGAGCGCGGACUGGGGCAGCCACGCCACUCCGCCUGAAGGUCGCCAGGAGCCUCCGCCCUUCACCUUCCUCGGAAAUCCGCCAGGCCACGCCAAGCUCCCUGCCCAGCCCUCACUGGCGGGGGCCACAUUUUCCCGGCCUCCGCAGCCAGACCUUGACACAAAGGACAUCAAACUGCCGAGGGUAAAAACCCCGGAAGGGCGGACACCUCCACAUCGCCUUUUGCCACCUUUCCCUUUAUUUCCGGAGAUAUUUAUUGAGUGUCUACUGUGUGCCAGGCACUAUAUCUAUGUGCAUAGAAAAACCCUGGAAGGCCAUACAACAAUAUAUAUAGAGUGAUCGUCUCUGCUUGCUGAGCUAACAGGAGUGUCAAGCUUCCAUUUUGGUAUCUACUUCUAAAUACACUCAGAACAGGAGAAAUUUGGACUAAUUUUCAAACUACAGAUACUUUCUAAUCAUGAUGCAUUUCAAAAGUGGACUCGAAUUAACUGAGUUGCAAAACAUGACAGUGCCCGAGGAUGAUAACAUUAGCAAUGACUCCAAUGAUUUCACCGAAGUAGAAAAUGGUCAGAUAAAUAGCAAGUUUAUUUCUGAUCGUGAAAGUAGAAGAAGUCUCACAAACAGCCAUUUGGAAAAAAAGAAGUGUGAUGAGUAUAUUCCAGGUACAACCUCCUUAGGCAUGUCUGUUUUUAACCUAAGCAAUGCCAUUAUGGGCAGUGGGAUUUUGGGACUCGCCUUUGCCCUGGCAAACACUGGAAUCCUACUUUUUCUGGUACUUUUGACUUCAGUGACAUUGCUGUCUAUAUAUUCAAUAAACCUCCUAUUGAUCUGUUCAAAAGAAACAGGCUGCAUGGUGUAUGAAAAGCUGGGGGAACAAGUCUUUGGCACCACAGGGAAGUUCGUAAUCUUUGGAGCCACCUCUCUACAGAACACUGGAGCAAUGCUGAGCUACCUCUUCAUCGUAAAAAACGAACUACCCUCUGCCAUAAAGUUUCUAAUGGGAAAGGAAGAGACAUUUUCAGCCUGGUACGUGGAUGGCCGCGUUCUGGUGGUGAUAGUCACCUUUGGCAUAAUUCUCCCUCUGUGUCUCUUGAAGAACUUAGGGUAUCUUGGCUAUACUAGUGGAUUUUCCUUGAGCUGUAUGGUUUUUUUCCUAAUAGUGGUUAUUUACAAGAAAUUUCAAAUUCCCUGCAUUGUUCCAGAGCUAAAUUCAACAAUAAGUGCUAAUUCAACAAAUGCUGACACGUGUACGCCAAAAUAUGUUACCUUCAAUUCAAAGACCGUGUAUGCUUUACCCACCAUUGCAUUUGCAUUUGUUUGCCACCCGUCAGUCCUGCCAAUUUACAGUGAGCUUAAAGACCGAUCACAGAAAAAAAUGCAGAUGGUUUCAAACAUCUCCUUUUUCGCCAUGUUUGUUAUGUACUUCUUGACUGCCAUUUUUGGCUACUUGACAUUCUAUGACAACGUGCAGUCCGACCUCCUUCACAAAUAUCAGAGUAAAGAUGACAUUCUCAUCCUGACAGUGCGGCUGGCUGUCAUUGUUGCUGUGAUCCUCACAGUGCCGGUGUUAUUUUUCACGGUUCGUUCAUCUUUAUUUGAACUGGCUAAGAAAACAAAGUUUAAUUUAUGUCGUCAUACCGUGGUUACCUGCAUACUCUUGGUUGUUAUCAACUUGUUGGUGAUCUUCAUACCCUCCAUGAAGGAUAUUUUUGGAGUCGUAGGAGUUACAUCUGCUAACAUGCUUAUUUUCAUUCUUCCUUCAUCUCUUUAUUUAAAAAUCACAGACCAGGAUGGAGAUAAAGGAACUCAAAGAAUUUGGAUAUGCUUUGGAACAACAGACCUGGAUUCAAAAACUACCUUUCUAUAUUGGGAUUCUUGUUUCCAGGUCUGGUGAAGUUCAAGGGCAUCUUGAACGUGGUGCACUUGGAGACAGUGAGGGAAGCAGGGGUGAAGUGGCUGCUACCUGAGUCCCUUCUGGAGCUCCAUUUUGCUUGGUCUUGGAGAAGGCUUCUCAGCUGCCCUCCCAGCUAGUGCUGCCCUUUUCUUGGGCCUGGGGGUGUUGUUCUCCUUGGUCAGCAUUCCCUUGGUCAUCUAUGACUGGGCCUGCUCAUCGAGUAGUGACGAAGGCCACUGAAACCCGCCGAGAAAAAGAAACAUCCCUGUUGUCUGCUCAGUCAAGUCCCCACACAUCAGCAAUCUCUCACCACUUCUUUUGCAAGUUUACAGAAGCAAACAGAAAUGUACAGGAUACUUAAAAUGGAAUAACUUUUUGGUUGCAAAACAGAGACAUGGUUCUAUAAUGCUUCAUGUCCCUCCAAGAUUUGAGAUCAAUUUAGGGAUUGUGAAUUUUUUUUUCAAAUUUCAUACAAUCAUAUUUCCCAGUACUUUUCACAAUCAUUUUUUACCCAUCUAACUCUAUGUUUUGUGGCUUCCCGGUCUCUUAGAACUUUGAAAACAUGAUAUACAAUCAUGUUUAUUUAUUAUACAUCCAGAUUCUGAAAUAAUUUUCCUACUGAUGUUCAGCUCACACUAUCUGUACCUUUUUAGAAGAGAAAAGAAUCUUGAAUUGUAUAUAUUUAUUUUGCUUUACACAAAAAAAUGGUUUCGUAAAUAAUUUGCCUAUUUUGGUUAAUAUAGCACAUGGAGAUAAUCAUCUGAAAGUUAUAGGGCACUGCCACUGCUGAAUCAGAGCAUGCCCAAUAUUUGAGGUGGCUCUGAUUUCCUGGCAGCUGAACUCGGGUAGUCCAGUGGCCUAGCUGGUACCACAUCUAUUCCCAUCCAGAGACAUUCUCUGGCAAGUGUUCUCAGCUGAAAAGUGGUUGGGGAUGAUUCUUACCUUGGUAAUUAAAUGAAGCUACACAUUUGGGUAAUCUAGCAAAUGAAGUAUUUUUUCCCUCUUGGCAACUUGUGUCAGAGUUACUCUGGUCUGAGUCAGCUUUCGCUGGGGAAAACCUAUGGAACCUACUGCAAAAAGAUUGUCCAAAAUGCCUAAGAAAAUACUCCUCUGAUGCGUUUAGCCUUCAACCCUACCUGUCUUGCUGAAGGGAGAAAAAUGUUUUAGUACAUUAUAGGCCCAGCAGCUUUUAUUCAUGUCCACCAGCUAGUUGCACAGAGAAUCAUGUGUACCUAACUAAGGAUGAUCUAGGAUAAGUAACUCCUGUUUUAUAUUGAGUAUUUUAGGGAAGUCUUUAAAAGACUUGUUUUAUAUCUAUAAAGCUAGGUUAUUACAAAUACAAGAAUUUUGUACCUUAAAUAAGCCUCAUUUCUAUUUCUUCUUCAUUAAUUCUCCAUCUAGUCUUGUGAAAAAAAAAAAAACCUCAGAGAUAGUCUUUUUGAAGAGCUUCUGACAGAAUCACUGAGUACCUUCCUUCCCCCAGAUGAGGAAGACAAGGGGGUCUCAGUGUCUGUGCUGUCUCCUCUUCUCUUCCCCAACCAAGGACUGUGCCAUUACUGCCCAUCUCAACUGUCCAUGCAGGAGGACAGAGUUGCCUGGUACUCUUACCCUUGUCCCUCUCCUAAAGGGAGCACAAGGAAACUGAAGAGACUGAAAAAGAAGAGUUUGUAGCUGAAAAAGAAUAGGGAUAGCAAGGAAACCCAGAACUGCAUUCCCCUAAGUGGGGCCAUCCCAUGUGAUUGAACUGUCCAUAGCUUGCCUAUGGUGAGAAAUGUGCAUGCUCCGUGAGCUGGUCUCUUGAAACAGGACUUAUGCUUCCUCUAUAUUCUGGUUAAAUUUUCCAAACACAUAAGUUCACUGAGCACAGAUUUCUUAUCCAGAGACAAGUAGAAUCUAACCGCAGACUGUUGGCAGAGUUUCCAGGCACUUAGCCAUGUUCCCUUCCUGAUUCAAAUCCCCAAAGGCCUUCACUCUCACUGAGAAUCACACUACUGUCCCAUAGAUAAGGCAGGCAUUGAAGCACCUGUCGUGAUCCUCUAGGGGGGAGAAUGAAAGGUUAUUUCCUGCAUUGCAUCAUCAUAGCUUUUAAUAUAAUGCUACAGAAUCAUAUCCACAUUAGGUUAGAGUUCAGAUAUUUGGAUAUGAAUACCUAACCGAGCCAUAUCCAUGGCCAUCUCUGUCCUUUUCAGCAAUGUUUUCCAUAUGAUAUUAGCAAUGACAGAAACAGAACAAGCCAAGAUCCAGUCAGUUCUUGGGAGCUUGUCUAGAGCACCAAGUAAUGAAAUAGCCAGGUAGUGGGAUGACCGUACCUUUAAAAAUACAUAAUUUAGUUUGCAAGCUAUAUUAUGCUACUUUCUAUUUUCCUCGUUACUUUAUAGCAAUUCAUUUUACCCUCACAAAGUCAAUUUAGAACCUUAUCAUUAACUGGGAUGUGUAGUGAUAUUUUUGGGCCUUUGGGUUUCAUGUGUCAAUACAAGGAAUAUUUAUUUAAAAUAGAUUUAUUUAGAGGAGGCACAGUGUUGUUGAUCUGUGUGACACCACCCAUAUUUUUAAAAACCUUUGUAUGUUUCUCUAAAUUUGUUGUUGACUGAAUAUAAUAGACCCUACCAUAAUUUGUCAAAUAUCACUGAUUAGUUACAUCCUUUGUGUGGGAUUAGCUGUAAAGUAUACUGCUCUUAUUCUUAUUCAGAAUAGUUAAUUGGUAGCCAGAAAUACAUGUAUCACAGAUGUUAGGUCGAAUUUAAACAGCACAGUCAAGUGCUAUGGAAGUUUUUCUGCUAAAUUAGUAGAUUAAAGAAUACUAUACCCUAGGCAUGGGGAGCAGCAUGUUUUCCUUUGGUAGGUAGGAUCUCUAUACUAGUGAACAGUGCCAGUUUCACACUUUGGAUUUAGAACUGUUCUCUAGUUAUUGUAACACAGAAUACUGUCAAUCCCUAAUUUACUUAAUGUUACUUAUUGGAAGUGGGGCUGAUGAAAUACGCACAGGAGGGAAAUCUACUGUGUUUAGGCACAGGCAGCCCCAGUGUAUAAGGAGAUCAUAUUCCAAAAGGUUGUCAGUUGGUUGUUUGCAACCUGGAAUGUAUUUUCCUUUAGAGACCUGGUUAUCCAUGGUGGUUAGGCCCCUAGAGCAGCUGGAAAAGAUGAUCAAACCCAUAGGUUAGCUGACAUCGAAUAAUGUAAUAGGUUUGCUAAAGAAUCUAACCAUCAAAUAUAAUAUUGUUUCCAGGGAGGGUGUUUGUUCAGAGUUGCCUGUUAGUAGAAUCUGGACUGUCCAUCCCAGCCAAAUCCCACCUACUGGACAGUAGGGGUAGAGAUGCCACCAGACUACAGGUGACCAGAUUGGCCUGAAACAUGGUGUCCAGUAAAAACGGGGAGGAAUAAGUCCAUGACUGCCGGAGAGCUUGGUGGUAGGAGGAGGGUGAAGGAGGGUGAGGGGGCCUCUCAUGGGUCAGAAACCUCCAGGGACAUCCCUCAGCUGGUAACUCUGCUGUUGUCCGGAGGGUUCAGGCUUGGUCUGCCUUCUUCUGUUUGUCUGACUUUUGGCUCCUAUGGUUCAUCUCCUGCCCUGCCCACCACAGAAAAGGAUGCUGCUGCACAGCUUCUCCAAUGUACCAGUCAUUGAGGCCAGCACGCAGCACUUUUAAUGUUUUUAGUGCUAGUAACUGUGUUUUAACUCUCCAGGAAUAAGCUGGGAGGUUAGAAAACAAGAAAAAAGGGGGAAAAAGAAACCUCUCCACCCACUUUCCUUUUUUACAGUUACAGACCCUGUUGAGAAAAAGAAGCACCCAGAUGGGUGAUGGUGAUAGGGCUUGUGGUGGACACAGGGUUGUGGUAAGAUUCCUCAGUGCUUCGGAGAGCACCUAAGACUGUUACCCUGGAACUGACUGCUUUCUAGAGCUUGAUUCAUGCCUCUAAGCCAGUGGUUCUCAAAGUGUGGCCCCUAGACCAGUAGCAUCAGCAUCAUCGGGGACCUCAUUAGAAUGCAGAUUCUCAGCCCCCUCCCAGACAUGGUGAAGUCAGAAGCUCUCAGGGAAGGACUCAGCAGAUGAUUCUAAAGCGCAUCAAGUUUGAGAACCACCGUAAGCCAAUGAGUCUCCCUUUUACUUUCCAUUAGUCCUACCUCACCAGAUGAUUCCUAGGACUCAUGGUGCAACAUACAGGAGCCAGGCUUUAGGGAGGGGAGGAAAGGAGCCUGGCGGCAGGGGUCUCUGCAAUGGCAAGAAAGUGAGUGAAUCCAGCGCUGCCACCUGGUUAUCCCCUUCUCGUUGAAAAUAGCAGCGCAGGUGCAAAUUCCUAAACACUGGCUGCCUGCACUCGGUGUUACCUCGGGCUGAGGCAUGAUAAUAUUUUAUUUUUUAAAGCUGUGAGGAAAUGAAAGUGAGGCUUUGGUUGGGGCGAGGCAGUUGUGAAAGAAAUUAAAAUAAAAGACCCUUUGUAAAUGCAGACUUAGAAGAAAUACUGAAUUUGUGUGAGAAGUUCUCCAAUGUUUGUGUUAAUCGUGUGGUGAUAAUCCUGUCCUCCUUUUAAAGCGAAUUCUCUACUGAAAGGUCUGCUCUGCUUAAGGAGCUACAAACUGCUCUCAAAAGAAUGAAAUACUGAGUUCCAAUUCAGUGGGGCACAGUGUUGGACUAUGGCACAUUUAGUUGGAGUCGGGGGGAGGUCAGGAAUAUGAUCAGAUAAUGGAUUUUAUACCUUAGAGCAAAAUCUAUUAGUCUCUCUCAGUUUAUCAAUUUAAAUGGCUUUAGGCUUAUAGGGGGUGUAAACUUUAUAAUUCUCCCAUUCAAGUUUACAGCAAACAUCUAGCCACCUUCAAAACAAAGAAGAUACAGACCAUCAUUUAGCAAUACUAAUACAUGAUUUUCCUUGGGGAUGGCAGGUUUGAGAAUCCUUUAGCAACAGGACAUACUUCCCCUAAAUUACAGUGAAUUAUUUAUAACGAGAUAAAGCUUUCAGGUACAAGCUGAAGGUGGGGUGUCUAACAACUAAAAACUAUCACUAAAUCUCAAAGAGAAAGUUCUUGCAAAAUAUGUAAAGUUCACAAGGUGCAGACAUUUUCCUUCUUUAGGCUUUUAUCUAAGGAAGGGCUAUGAAACUGGGCCCAUCUGUAUACAGGCUCAAAUUUACGUUUUUAAAGGAAGAAUCUAUGCAGCUGAGGCUUAUUGCAGGAAAUACUUCAUUUGUAUGUAAAUAUUAUUGUAAAUAAAUAGGAGGCUGUAUAUUUUUGAAGUUGUUGAUCCGCACUGAAAUAGAAGUCUCUAGGAUCUGCAUAUAAACAAUAAAUGUUUCCUAGAUAUUAGUGGUUUUGUUUGGGAAUUAGAAAAAUUUACAUUCUCUCCCAGGUAACAUAGUUCUCUCAAUGUAAACUUGGAACCUGAAACCCUACUUAAUUUAGAGAAAGAAAUGUCUGAGAAAUAGUUCCCUUGAUUUCUUAUGCUGGCAUUAAGAUCAAUUAUUUAACAGAUAGUCCUCUGAGAUACAAAUAAGGAAUAUUUAGACACAAAUCCUUGUCCUAUAGAAACAGAUAUACCCAAAUGACAAAUUGUUUCUUCAUAAUGAUCUUCCAUUUUUAACACUGAUACCACUACACAGUACAUAUGAAAACAGAAGCUGGGGAGAAGAAUGUUUUUUUCACAAUUGAAUUGCUGCAUUUCUCAAACUUUGGGAUCUAUGAAAGCGGGGAGAGGGAACCUGAAUAUUAAUUAUGAGCACAAAUUUGAAGGAAAGAAAACAACCAUUAUCUAAUCAAGCUUUGAAAGUCCUGCAUGUUUGCCUUUUAUUUUAGUGUUGACGCCAACAUAGACUGUCUAAGGUAUUUUUUUCCCCAAACACUUGAAUCUUGGUCGUUGGUAUGUAAUCCACUCUCUAGAGUCCAGUGUACUUUAGACUUCAUCUGAGUCCGGUACAUGUACCACACUACUGUUUUAUUAAUGUAAAAACCUUGUAAAUGAAUUUCAGAUGGGUGAUUUAAGUGAGUCACAAGUCACAAAACUUUGCUAUUCAUAGUUAAUCAAAUAGAACUGGGUUUUUUUUUUCAGGGUGUGAAAUAAAGAAAUAUAAGAAGUUCUGUUCUAUAACUGCUCUGUUAACAUAGUUUUUAAACAUUAAAAAAUGUGAACUAAAAA